GAUGGAACAGACAACGUUGAAUAGUGGAACACUGGGUGGGCUUUAACCUACAUUCAUAGAGAUGCUCCUGCUGGUGGGGAGGCCAGGCAAGCACUUAGCAAAUCCCAAUCAUUUUCAUUAACUCCAGCAGGUCCAGGGGCUCUCCCCAGCAUGACCUGGGGCUGCUGUAACCCAGGUCCUCCUGCCUGCCAGGCUGGAGCCCUUGAGCCAUGGCACGAUGGGUGCUGAUGCAAUCAGUGUCUCCAGCUGGGAAUGGUGCCAUCAGGUGCUGCCAAUUCACCAAUUGCACGGGGAUAAGAGCCCACCCCCAAGGGCAUCUCCACUGAGGUGAGGCUGUUGCUGUGAGGAGGAUGUGGCUUCACCCUUGGGGCUGAGCAUCAACCCAUUACCAUCAGAGUAUCACAGAGUCAAGAUGUUUCAUCAGUUCACUUCAGCCCCAGCAAGAUAGAGUGACAUCAAAAGAAGAAUAAAACCAAUCUGAGAAUAGGGGGGCUAGAGAACUGUAUAAUUUAGUUCUGCCAGAAAGCGUGUCCCUCUUUCCUACCUGCUCAUCAGCCAGCCCCAAUCACUCCACCAGAAGCAGAAUGAGACCAUGUGAAUACAAUCCAGUAUGGUGCACCACAUCUAAUGCCAUAGAAUAUUAGGAACAAAUAACACACACAGGUGUACCCUCAAUUUUCUAUCUAUCUGAGAAUCAGAAAAGCUAUUGAGACUUGAGAAUUCAGGGCAAAAAUCACCUCCGCAGGAAUCAAAGAAUCAUUUACAUUGGAAAAGACCUUUAAGAUUGGAGUCCAACCAUAAGGAAGGUAGAGUGUGUUAUGUAGGGCCUGCAAGGAAUUCUACCUGCUAUAGAAUGUCCUUUGCCUCCAGCAGAAAGGGUCACCAAACCAUCUGCUUAUGUUACUACAGGGAUUAGUCUCAGCUAUCAACAAUGGAGAAAGCCACCAAAUUUUCCACUCUAGAGUUCAGUUGCCCUAAUGGCAUGCACAGCUUGGGCAGAGGUACAGUAACUGGUAUCACAGGCCAGAACAACUACCUCAGAUUUCACUGUAUUUGACAAAUCUUUGAUUGAUGUUAGGGACUUUUUCUAUCCCCCUUGCUUCCCUGUUCUUGGUUAUUUAUAGGAAAAAUAUGAAUAUCAACCUAUUUUGCUAACUGCUCAAGAUGUGCCACAGACACUGUCCAUUAUUCACUGUUCACAGGGAGCUGGGUAUCUUAAAAGGAAGUUUUAAACAUUUCUGUGCUUGCUUGCUGCAUAGACUUACACCUGCAAAGGUUAGGAUGUAGCAGCCCACUUGAAGAACAACUACAGUAUUCCUUGUGAGGAAAUAACAAACCAAAAUUGACAAUAUAACCCAGAAGAAAUCAACUGCAGUGCAGCUCUCGGGAGGACAGGAUGACACGUGAGAUGCCUGCUUUGCCCAAAACAAGGGAAGUUUAAUAGACUAGAAGUGUUUGGCUGGACCUGUGUGCCCAGGAGUGGCACAAAUAAACACAACUGGAAGGAUUAAAAUAGCUGAGGUACAGUCAAAAGAAUCCUUUGUCUGAAACACAGAGGUGACCUGCCUAAGGUCAUUCAAAGUUUAGAUUUCUUGAGAAGCCAUUCUUGAAGGCACUUGAGAAAUGAGGGAGGUUGGUUGUCUUUAUAAAUAAAAUGACACAGAACCUUUGUCAUCCUGAGAGUAGCUACCUAGGAGUCUUACUGUAAGUUCUUUUUCACUGUAUACCACCAUGCAGAUGUGUUGGUUAUAUAAUGCAAUGGCCCUGCAAGUCUGUAAUAUUUAUCAUAAUUUUAUAUUAAUAGGCAGUAUAAAAGAGAAAUGGAAAAGGCCAUGGGCUGAGACCUUCCCACAAGGCAAAACUUGUUUUUACAGCAGUGCAAAUAUUUUAACAUAUCAAACUACUUGUUUAGGUUUCCUAUAAUUUCAUUCCCCUACAUAUGUGUUGGCCUAUAGACACAUUCAGAGUGUAUAGUGGGCAGAAUGGAAUGUUUGCAUUAGGAUUAUACAUCUUGAUUGUGUAACUACCAUGAUUUAUAAGCCACAUCUUCAUACAUAUAAAAACCCCUGACUCCGCUGACAUCAGUGAGAGCAUGCUGACACACACUGCUACAGAUCCAUUCUAAAAUACUCACAUUAGUUCACAUGUACAUUUUGAGAAAGCCCGAUUUCAUACCUGUAGCUCAUUUACAAGAAAUCUAGUCCUGCUACUUAUCCUCACAAACUUGUAACAUUCUUAUAUAGUCCAAGCUGUAGAGCAAACACAUCUUUUAAUGCCCUCUUUGACACAAGUAAUACCUACUCCCUAAAUUUACCCAAUAAACCUGCACAUACUCAUUUUGCCACUCACCUGAGAGUGAGAUACCUUCUGCAAGCCCAUAAGGAAGGUAAGCGAAGAUAAUCAUCAUCCCAAACUCUAGGGAGGGUGUCUUCCUUAAAUCAAUGUGCUUUAGUACGUAUACAUAAAUAAGACCAGUAAGUGUACCAAGCGCUGCAGAGCCAAAGAACAUCUUAAGAAAGUACCCCAGUGCCUGUAGAAAGGUUUGCCAUCCACUUACAUCUGACAUAUUUUCUCUUGUCAAACCUUC